rnacentral:rRNA from 1 species
UACGUAGGGUGCAAGCGUUAAUCGGAAUUACUGGGCGUAAAGCGUGCGCAGGCGGUUUUGUAAGUCUGACGUGAAAUCCCCGGGCUCAACCUGGGAAUUGCGUUGGAGACUGCAAGGCUAGAAUCUGGCAGAGGGGGGUAGAAUUCCACGUGUAGCAGUGAAAUGCGUAGAGAUGUGGAGGAGCACCGAUGGCGAAGGCAGCCCCCUGGGUCAAGAUUGACGCUCAUGCACGAAAGCGUGGGGAGCAAACAGG